rnacentral:rRNA from 1 species
AGGACCUACGGGGGGCAGCAGUAGGGAAUCUUCCACAAUGGACGAAAGUCUGAUGGAGCAACGCCGCGUGAGUGAAGAAGGGUUUCGGCUCGUAAAGCUCUGGUGGUAGUGAAGAAAGAUAGAGGUAGUAACUGGCCUUUAUUUGACGGGAAUUACUUAGAAAGUCACGGCUAACUACGUGCCAGCAGCCGCGGUAAUACGUAGGGGGCAAGCGUUGUCCGGAUUUAUUUGG